rnacentral:rRNA from 1 species
AUGCAAGUCGAACGAAGCGCUUAAAUGGAUUUCUUCGGAUUGAAGUUUUUGUGACUGAGUGGCGGACGGGUGAGUAACGCGUGGGUAACCUGCCUCAUACAGGGGGAUAACAGUUAGAAAUGACUGCUAAUACCGCAUAAGCGCACAGUGCUGCAUGGCACAGUGUGAAAAACUCCGGUGGUAUGAGAUGGACCCGCGUCUGAUUAGCUGGUUGGUGGGGUAACGGCCUACCAAGGCGACGAUCAGUAGCCGGCCUGAGAGGGUGAACGGCCACAUUGGGACUGAGACACGGCCCAAACUCCUACGGGAGGCAGCAGUGGGGAAUAUUGCACAAUGGGGGAAACCCUGAUGCAGCGACGCCGCGUGAGCGAAGAAGUAUUUCGGUAUGUAAAGCUCUAUCAGCAGGGAAGAAAAUGACGGUACCUGACUAAGAAGCACCGGCUAAAUACGUGCCAGCAGCCGCGGUAAUACGUAUGGUGCAAGCGUUAUCCGGAUUUACUGGGUGUAAAGGGAGCGUAGACGGUUGUGUAAGUCUGAUGUGAAAGCCCGGGGCUCAACCCCGGGACUGCAUUGGAAACUAUGUAACUAGAGUGUCGGAGAGGUAAGCGGAAUUCCUAGUGUAGCGGUGAAAUGCGUAGAUAUUAGGAGGAACACCAGUGGCGAAGGCGGCUUACUGGACGAUCACUGACGUUGAGGCUCGAAAGCGUGGGGGAGCAAACAGGAUUAGAUACCCUGGUAGUUCCACGCCGUAA